AAAAACAUAGCCUUUAGCCCAAAAAGUAUUAAAGGUCCCGCCUGCCCAGUGAAACAACGGCCGCGGUAUUCUAACCGUGCAAAGGUAGCGUAAUCACUUGUCUUCUAAAUAAAGACCAGUAUGAAUGGCUAAAUGAGGACAAACCUGUCUCUUAUAGUUAAUCAGUGAAACUGAUCUUCCAGUACAAAAGCUGGAAUUAAAACAUAAGACGAGAAGACCCCGUGGAGCUUAAAAUAAACUACUACCCAAACUAGGAACCUUUUCAGUUGGGGCGACUUCGGAAUAUAGUAAAACUUCCGAGCACAGAACUACACCUUCUACCAAAGGCCAACAAGCCAAAUGACCCGGCCAAGCCGAACAACGAACCAAGUUACCCCGGGGAUAACAGCGCUAUCUUCUUUAAGAGUCCAUAUCAACAAGAAGGUUUACGACCUCGAUGUUGGAUCAGGACACCCAAAUGGUGCAGCCGCUAUUAAAGGUUCGUUUGUUCAACGAUUAAAGUCCUACGUGAUCUG
rnacentral:rRNA from 1 species